CUACCUUUUUGGCAACAGUAUUCGUUUAUUUAUUAUAAAAUCGCCAAAUUCGAUCAACAACUUUUUUCUAUGUUUUCGACAAAUUCCACAAAAAGUUUUUACCCAUUUUACACGUUCUUUCAUCCACCUGCUGACAUGCCGCACGACUUUUGGCACAAAAAAUUAUUCAAACAAAGAAGAAAAUAUUUAUUGAGCUGUCAAAAAAAAAAUUUUUUUUUUCAUUUUCCUUUUACGCUUGUCCUUUUUUAUAUUCUUUUGAUUGUGGCAUUUGAGUGAUUAAAAGGUGUUCCGCUUUUUACAAAAAAACGGUUAACUGUCAGCUCGUGGAUUUUCCGCUCAUCGCCCACGUGCUUGUGUAUUUGUUUGUGGCAGAGUUGUCAAAACUUUUUACCAUUAUUUCGUGUUCGAAAUUAAAUUAUGUAAAAUAUAUAAUAACUUAAUUAACAGUAGAGUUUAAAUUUUUAAUUUGUAAUUAUCGAAGAGAGUGAGUAAUUACAUUUUGGAGCUAACGGUACCGUAAACAUUACUUUGAUGUUCAAUUUUCAAUUAUUAAUUAUUAUUAAACCAAAAUCAAAGUAAAAAGAUAUAAAUCUCGCAAUAUCAGAUGACAAAGGAUUAAGCUUAUGUUCGAAAACACUUCAACCUCGCAGACGAACCUUAUAAUAAUAUGAAUAAGGAUCACUAAAUCAGUCCAAAUACUUUCACGGAAACGGAAAUGGAAUACAAAGGAAAUUUCUGGCAUACACUGGUCUUUUAAGAAAACUCCACCGAAAUAUAUCACCAUCUUUUUUAAGCAGGAAACCAUCAAACCCUUUGUCACGCAUUUGUGGUUAUAAUGAGCCAAUGUCUACCAUAUUUAUUUGGCCCAAACAAUCCUGUUUUGGUCAUUCAAUGGCAUUUCAUGGAUCGCUAUACUAUACUAAUUUUUAUUAUUAACACCAACCGACUUUGUAUAAUGUACAUCAGCGAUAUCCUUGUUGUACGUCUAUGCGAGUGAUUUCGUAGUACGUGUCUCGGAUAUUUGUUAAGACGCUGUAGUAAUAUAAGAAGGAUUCCAAAAACUACCACAUGUCUGCCGAUUCACCUGUCAAUCACUAAAGAAAUCGCCACAGAAACUUUAUAAACUUUCACGCAUGAAACUCGCAAGAAUGAACAGAUAAAGGAAAACACAGAAACUGUCGCGUCAACGCACAACCAGAGACAAUCACUUGCAAAUCACUUGGAAAGCACUUUGAAAAUUGCAUGCCGUUAGAACAUUUGAAGUGACACAACGAAUUUUCAGCGCUGCAAACAACACGGCAUUCACAGCGAUUCGCACAAUGCUAACUGCUCUGGUGACGACAUGGUCAGUGAUGAAGGCUCGGUUGGCGACAUUAUCAUCGCUGAUGGCGAAGGUAGACAAACCGGUGAUUGCAAUGGAGAUACGACAAUAAAUGAAGAAGGCGCAGUCGUUUCUACCGACUUUUCUUUGAAAAAUCAUCGUUGCGCAAGGUAUUUGUCUGGUUCCUUAAAGCCAAUGCUUUCAUUAUUAAAAUUUUCUUUCAAAAAUCUAUGAAACACGAUAUUUAUUAAUAAUUGUAAGCAAAUAUUAAAGUUUCCAAAACUUACCAUUCUCGUUGCUCAAAAUUUAAACAAACAAAUUAAUUAAAAUAAUAUGUAUUGUGUAUACAUGGAUAUGCAUUUAGUAAAAAUCGGAUAUUUGAAAAAUUUGAUAUUGAUAAAUAAAAUAUCGAUAAAUAUGUUAUAGAA